rnacentral:piRNA from 1 species
UCUAGAAAUUCUCAGAAAGUU